rnacentral:rRNA from 1 species
GGUAUCUUUUUAAAUUCCCGAAGGAGGUUUAUUUAUUCAUUUAUCUAUGGUAUAUUAUAGAAAUAUUUUGUUAUUUCUUAUUGCCCCAAUAAAACAGUUAUUAAAACUAUAAAGAUCUAUAGGGUCUUAUCGUCUAAAAAAUUUAUUAAUGCAUUUUUACAUUAAAUUAAACUUCAAAUAUUUUCUAUGAAACAGUCUAUCCCCCAUUCAAUCGUUCAUACAAGUCUUCAAUUAAAAGACUAUUGAUUAUGCUACCUUUGUACGGUCAAGUUACCGCAGCCCUUAAAAGCUCAGGGGGCAGAUUAUAUCUUUAAUUUAACCUAAAGAAA